rnacentral:rRNA from 1 species
AACGAACGCUGGCGGCGUGCUUAACACAUGCAAGUCGAACGCGAAAGGGACUUCGGUCCUGAGUAAAGUGGCGCACGGGUGAGUAACGCGUGGAUAAUCUACCCAAUGAUCUGGGAUAACAUCUCGAAAGGGGUGCUAAUACCGGAUAAGACCACGGGAUCUCUGGAUUCUGCGGUAAAAGGUGGGGACCUUCGGGCCUACCGUCAUCGGAUGAGUCCGCGUACCAUUAGCUAGUUGGCAGGGUAAUGGCCUACCAAGGCAACGAUGGUUAGCUGGUCUGAGAGGAUGAUCAGCCACACUGGAACUGAGACACGGUCCAGACUCCUACGGGUGGCUG